rnacentral:rRNA from 1 species
GACGAUCGCUGGCGGCGUGCUUAACACAUGCAAGUCGAGCGGUAAGGCCUUUCGGGGUCCACGAGCGGCGAACGGGUGAGUAACACGUGGGUGAUCUGCCCUGCACUUCGGGAUAAGCCUGGGAAACUGGGUCUAAUACCGGAUAUGACCUCCUAUCGCAUGGUGGGUGGUGGAAAGAUUUAUCGGUGCAGGAUGGGCCCGCGGCCUAUCAGCUUGUUGGUGGGGUAAUGGCCUACCAAGGCGACGACGGGUAGCCGACCUGAGAGGGUGACCGGCCACACUGGGACUGAGACACGGCCCAGACUCCUACGGGAGGCAGCAGUGGGGAAUAUUGCACAAUGGGCGAAAGCCUGAUGCAGCGACGCCGCGUGAGGGAUGACGGCCUUCGGGUUGCAAACCUCUUUCAGCAGGGACGAAGCGCAAGUGACGGUACCUGCAGAAGAAGCACCGGCUAACUACGUG